CAGCACCUCAAGUGGUCAGGAUGAUUAUUGGGCCUAAAGCAUCCGUAGCCGGCGCUGUAAGUUUUCGGUUAAAUCCAUACGCUCAACGUAUGGGCUGCCGGGAAUACUGCAAAGCUAGGGAGUGGGAGAGGUAGACGGUACUCGGUAGGAAGGGGUAAAAUCCUUUGAUCUAUUGAUGACCACCUGUGGCGAAGGCGGUCUACCAGAACACGUCCGACGGUGAGGGAUGAAAGCUGGGGGAGCAAACCGGAUUAGAUACCCGAGUAGUC
rnacentral:rRNA from 1 species